UGCAUUGGUUAAUGAAGACAAACUGAUCGUCGAUCCCUUUUCUAAUGCGCUUUUAUACAUGGCCGCCAAUUCUGCCCUGGUAAAUCCAAGUACUUCUGGAUUUUUUACUUUGGUAACGAUCGGAAUGUGAGGCUGAAAAAUUAAAGGUUCACGCUCGUAAUGGAAAUACCAUGUUACGGAUGUGCGUAACAAACACUCGCGGUCAGUAUGUUCGCAAUUGUACUAGCAGGGAUGGACUGCACGAAUAUCCUCGGCCAACUCGUUCCCCACCAGGUAUUCGAGGAAUUCAUGGUUGUACGUAUCAGAACAUCCAUUAAGAGAUGCACAAACUUGCUGUAUGUUAAAUGCAUGUUUAAAGUUAACAUUUUUUUUUAGUGGGUUUCUGGUUAUUGGGUUAUGAUCAGUUCUGCGAUUACUGACGUAGUUUUAAGCAAUGAUUAUAUUUAUAAUCUUAUUUCUAAGAAAUAUUAAAAUAUUUAUAAUUAACAAUUUAUAUUACUUUUUAUCUACUUUUUUAAAAUAUAUACUUAGAAAUAUAAUAGAUAAAAGUUAAUGAGAUAUCAUUUUUACUAAAUAAUUCUUUUUAAUUAAUAAACUCAUAGGUACAAUUAUCCAAUUACCUACUACUACUACUAUGCAAGGUAAUAGAAAAUCUUAUCGGUGUAGAAAUAUAAGGAUGAUGUUUGAAAUAUGUUCAUUUCUAUUAUACUGUUACGAAAUUUUAUUCUUUUAAGAUUGCUGAUUCCAUAGACAUGCGAUAGAAUAUAGCGGAUGUGCUCGAAACCACAUACGUAUUUGACGAAUACCCCAUGAUCAAGUUUCCGAAUACACAUAAAUUGGACAACACGAGUGAUUAUUAAAUGACUCGUAAGAAAAAUGGGAACAGUACAGUAAACCAGUUCAGAGGAAACAAGCGACAAGAUUAAGUGCAAUUGUGAUCUGGUCUUUUGCUUUUUGACGCAAAUCGUAGGAUGGCAUCAAGUUCGUUAAAAGGAAACUUGCAUGGAUGCCUGAACACAGGCAAAAGCGAGAAUCGUAUACAUAAUAGAUAUAUAUUUCCUCAGUUGUGGUAAUACUUUUUGUUUUAAGCGAGAGGCAAUUGGUAUAUCAGUAUUAGUAUUUUAAUUGAGAAAGUUGUUUUAAUAUUUGAUUUAUUCUAAAAAUGCCAUAUGAGAUGGUAAUAAUGUAUAUGGAACAAUAUAAUAAUGGGAUAGUAAUUUCCUAGAAGAUAUAGUUUAUAACAUCCUGCUCGUAUAAAAUCUAUGUCGUGAUUAUAAUUGUCAUUAGUUUAUUAUGCAAAUCAUAGUGUAAGUUCUCGAUGUAGACCGUGUACAAUAAACGAUGAAGGAAUUGCGGUUCACUGAGUGGACCCGCGAGGAGCCGUUAGAUGGUAACCAAUGAUUUUCUUUAAUUAUAUUCGUCCACCGUAAUUACUCGUCUAGAUUACAAUACUGAUAUUUCCCACUUUCUACAUUAUACACUUUUCGUUACAAAAUUAAAUUGCUCUAAUUUCUUAUAAUGAUAAAUAUUGAUAAUAUUACAAUAAAAACGAUUAAAUAGUUAUGUAUACCAAUAUUAAUGAUGUUUGUAGCUUAAAAUUUACAUAGCGGUACAUUAACUCGUGGAAUUGAAAAUUACUAGAUUCGCGAAUAGAUAGAAAAUAAUAAUCAAAUAUUAUAUAUGCAUACAUUCGGAAUGGAAUUUUGUGAAUCUAUAAAUUACACGAAGGAAUUUAUAUAAAAGUAGUUUUAGAUUUUCGUUGGACGAAUGUUAAAAGAAUGUACCGUAAUGUUUCGUGUCCUGUUAUGUUAGUAAAAGAAAGGGGAGGAAAGGAAAACGAAAAUUGCUCGUAUAGUUCGUUAUUGUGUCAUGUAUUUCCUUUCACAUCGAGUGCACCGUUACCGAUAUCGCUUUACAAUUUUUUUUUCUUUUCAUACAAAAAGAUGAUUCGAUAAUCAGCGCCGCUACAUCGUUUUUGUGGUUCGUCUAUUAUCGGCGAACGAUCAAUUGUCGUUACACGUAUUUCAUAGAUAUAAUAUAUAUAAUAUAUAUAUAUAUAUAUAUCUUUAUCUUUAGCAUAACCUCCCUCUUAUAAAGUGAAUAUCAUACAAAAUCUAAGGCUAUACGUAAUUUAACUUUUAAUCCUCCAUUACAUACGAACAUAAUGCUCUAAUACAAUUGAAUUUCAAUUUUAUUUCUCUUACACGGUUUCAUUUACAAAAAAAAAAAGAUUCUACUUAUUAUGGGUUAACGAACCGGAUUGGAGACGACGGUGGUAGGCCCUCUUUUUAGAGCGUUUACAUUUUUCUUUACGAAAUAUACGAAGCACAGAAACUGUUCUUUUCUUGUGAAUUAGACCUGGUGCAGACGAGCCAUUGCGAUGUCAUUGCGAUUACGCAGUAGUGUACAAAGUUAUUGUUGCGAUUCAAUUAUGUAUAUAUAUUUUUAAUAAUGCAAUGCACAUAAGUGUGCGUUCCCGCUAUUAAUUUUUUCAUUUCUAACGUUGGCUGUAGUCAGCAUCCAUGCGAGGAACUGUGGAUACGAAUGCCGUCCAUAGUCGGCACGUAUGUAAUAAACCAUACUAACGCCGAUUAUAGUAAUGAUUUAUUCGGUAACAAUUGUGUUACGUUCUUUAGUUAUUAUUUUGAUUCUGUUCGGAAGAAUUCGGAAGCAAUCCGUUAAUGGUAUAUAUAUGUUAAUUUUUUCAAUGUUGAAAGUUACAGUUUUAUUUAACUCCUUUUUUCUAUGCAAAUAUUAAUGCAAAUGAAUAUUCGCGGCGCACGUUCCUCUACUAUAGAAGAACAAUAUUCGCAGUUAUAUGAAUUGUAAAGACAGGGUUAAAAAUAUAAUGUUAUUGAAAAUCGCACAUAGAGUUACCGCUACGAAAUCUCAACAAUAUUGAGUAGCUUAUUUGCACGUGGUCUUACACCCGUCAAUUAUAGACGGAAUGUCGAUUGCCGCUAAAUCGACUUGAACUUUGUCACGUAGUUUGUUCACGUGCGCGCGCACUUACGGUUACUACGCGCAUCAGUUCCGGCUGUUCAGCACCGUUCGAUAUUGAACACGAAAAUUUAAAGAGCCGUUCGUGUAUUAUAAUUUCUGAUAUUUGACGGUGAACUUAACGUGGUUAGUUAAAAAUAUGCCUUAAAAGGAUACGUUAUAUACAGAACGAAAGAAUACCGUUACAAAAGAUUAGUGCCCAAGUUGAUUGAAAGUGAUACUCGAUAAAGAUUUACGUUUUUUUUCAGAAUCACGAUAUACGAUCCUAUGAUGAAAGACUAUUCUUUGAAAAGAUCUGGUUUCGGCUCGUUCGCACAUUGAAUUCAGAUCACGAAUUGAGUAAUUAAUAAUUUGCAUUCAUUUUUGAGAAUUGUUUGUGCGAUUAUUAUAAACAACGAUGGAGAUUAUAUCGCUAGUAAUUUCGCUAAAAAUAGGCCGAGAUAGGCUUUUUCUCUUUCUUUUCUUGCUUCUAUCCUUAUCGUUUAAAUUGAGUAUCGGUAUACAAAAAGUUGUAAAUGUAAUUUUAUAGUAAGCUUCGAUUAACAUAAAGAAAGACGUACAUAUUGAAUGUACAUUACAGAUCGCUCUUAGAAUUAAUUGCUAGUCGUGUAAGUAGAUGAACAUAAAUGUACGCUAUACUGUAUACUAAAAAUGAAACAACGACGAUUCAUAGCACAUCUUUACGUACACAAUUCGAGCGGAAACUUAUAUAUAUGUAUUUGUACAUGGCAGCACGAUAUUUUUAAACGAACGUCGCAAGUAUACUUAUCCUUAAUUAUCAGAAUCCUCUACUUGACAGUACAGUCAUUGAAUAAAUAAAAAUUACAGAGUUCGAUAUAAGCUACGCAUCGGAGAAAAUCAAAUUUAACAAUAUAUCUAUACAUGUCGCUAAUCAAUUAAAUCGUGUAAAAUAUUUUAUUGCUAUGUUUACAGAAUAAGCAGUACCUCGUUAAAAUCCCGACGCAAAGGUUGUAACGAUAAUACCUAAUUAUAAAGAAUACUUUUGAUAAUACUUUUUUGUAUUAUCUGUCUACGAUAUUUCCUCCGCCAUUAAGAUUUUAUAACGAGAGAAAAUAAUCGGAAAUAUAAAACGAAGUAUACAUAUAUAGGGUAAUGUAUCUUGAUCCAUUAAUGAAUACGUAUUGGACAAAAUCAUUAAUUCGACAUAUGUAUAUUUUUUAAAUACCCUAUAUAUAUAAGCUUAAUACUCAGAUGUAACGUCUUUUUGCUUCGAGUAUUACAUAGUUUCGAAAAAAUCACUACGCAGUUUUUGUAAUUUCAGCAGCUAUUUACAAUGAAAGAUUAUUCCAUACACAUCGUGUCGGACCAUUGGCUGUAAGAUACCGAUAUUUUUACAUCAUGCCAAUAUUUGAACGCAAGUUGAACCGAUGCUACAUCGAAUGAUUGUAUAAAAAAAGAAGAAAAAAGAUCAGUAACAUUUUAAUUGUCAGAUUACUUUCAUCUUAACAGCGAGUAUUAAAAAAAUUUCAAAUAUGUAUAUCCGUAUCAAAUGUAAAAUGUCGUCGGAAGUUCAUUGAAGAAUUAGAUAAAAGUAACUCGAAAUUACAAGUUAUAAAAGUACAAGAUUGAUGCUAUAGAAACUAAUUUCUAUUGCCAGUUAUACAAAAAGGAUUGUGAUUCAUCACAUCUUAAACUCAUCAGUCGCAUAGAAUAUCACAGGAACGUUAGUAGGUGCCAUUGGAUUUAUGUAUAUCAAAUAGAUAGUACAUUGCUCGUGCACGUAUUAAGAAAGUAUAAAGAUGUAUAGAAAAAGAACAAAUCUUAAAGUUAUCCUGUUUCAAUUUAAAAUCCAAAGUCUGUCAGUAUACCCUUGUUACUAAGGCAAUAAUUCGCCGCUACAUUGCAUAUUUAAGAAGCUUUCUCAAUGUACUUUAGUGAAUCGUCAAACACAAGCAAUGAAUAAAUCACAAUGAAAAAAUGAA